CCCUUAGAUGUUCUGGGCUGCACGCGCGCUACACUGACACACUCAGCGAGUCUCCUGGCCCGAGAGGGUUGGGUAAUCAUGUGAGCGUGUGUCGUGAUGGGGAUAGAAUAUUGUAAUUAUUGCUCUUCAACGAGGAAUUCCCAGUAAGUACAAGUCAUAAGCUUGCGCUGACUACGUCCCUGCCCUUUGUACACACCGCCCGUCGCUACUACCGAUUGAAUGAUUUAGUGAGGACUUCGGACUGGGACCGAUGCGGCUUUCGGGCUGCGUCGGUAUUCUGGAAAGAUGUCCAAACUGUAUCAUUUAGAGGAAGUAAAAGUCGUAACA
rnacentral:rRNA from 1 species